CGCACCGGUGAGGCGGGCUCAGUCCGGUUGGCAGGCGGGGCAGUAGUAGGCCGGCCUGGUCAUCGGUUCCACGCCGAUCGGGGCGACCA
rnacentral:tRNA from 1 species